UACAGAGGGGGCAAGCGUUAUUCGGAAUUAUUGGGCGUAAAGAGCUCGUAGGCGGCUCAGUAAGUCGGGUGUGAAACCUCCAGGCUCAACCUGGAGACGCCACCCGAUACUGCUGUGGCUUGAGUCCGGUAGGGGAGCGUGGAAUUCCUGGUGUAGCGGUGAAAUGCGUAGAUAUCGUCUGGAACGCCGAUGGCGAAGGCAAUCCCCUGGGCCUGCACUGACGCUCAUGCACGAAAGCGUGGGGAGCAAACAGG
rnacentral:rRNA from 1 species